rnacentral:pre_miRNA from 15 species
UUUAGAGAAAAAUUGCAGCCAUUCUCGUGUCCUUAUCACUUUUCCAGCCCAGCUUUUUCAUUGUAACUGUUGGACGGAGAACUGAUAAGGGUAUGUGACUGACAUGAACGACCUAACGAACA